UACAGAGGUCCCGAGCGUUGUUCGGAUUCACUGGGCGUAAAGGGUGCGCAGGCGGUCGGAUAAGUCUGAUGUGAAAUCCCGGAGCUCAACUCCGGAACUGCAUCGGAUACUGUCCGGCUGGAGGAAUGGAGGGGAGACUGGAAUUCUCGGUGUAGUAGUGAAAUGCGUAGAUAUCGAGAGGAACACCAGUGGCGAAGGCGAGUCUCUGGACAUUUCCUGACGCUGAGGCACGAAAGCCAGGGGAGCAAACGGG
rnacentral:rRNA from 1 species